UAAGGGUUAGUUUCAGUUAGAAUCUUUAGUUGUCAAUUAAAAGGAGGAAGAAGAGAAGAUCCACUCUU
rnacentral:tRNA from 1 species